UACGGAGGGUGCGAGCGUUGUCCGGAAUCACUGGGCGUAAAGGGCGCGUAGGCGGCCUGAUAAGUAGGGGGUGAAAUCCUGUGGCUUAACCGCAGGGCUGCCUUCUAAACUGUCGGGCUAGAGCACAGUAGAGGCAGGUGGAAUUCCCGGUGUAGCGGUGGAAUGCGUAGAGAUCGGGAAGAACAUCAGUGGCGAAGGCGGCCAACUGGACCAUUACUGACGCUGAGGUGCGAAAGCGUGGGGAGCAAACAGG
rnacentral:rRNA from 1 species